rnacentral:rRNA from 1 species
GAUUAAGCGUCUAAGGGCAUUUCGUGGAUGCCUUGGCACUGAGAGGCGAUGAAGGACGUAGCACGUUGCGAUAAGCUACGGGGAGCCGCGAGCAGGCUUUGAUCCGUAGAUUUCCGAAUGGGGAAACCCCACCGUGAGGUGAUCUUAACCUGAAUACAUAGGGUUAAGAGGCGAACCCGGCGAACUGAAACAUCUAAGUAGCCGGAGGAAAGGACAUCAACAGAGACUCCGUUAGUAGUGGCGAGCGAACGCGGACCAGGCCAGUAGCUUUAUGUUUCAAACUGGAACCGUCUGGAAAGUCGGGUCAUAGUGGGUGAUAACCCCGUACAGGUAAAGAUACAUAAGGUUCUCGAGUAAGGCGGGACACGUGAAAUCCUGUCUGAACAUGGGGGGACCACCCUCCAAGCCUAAGUACUACUCAGUGACCGAUAGUGUACAAGUACCGUGAGGGAAAGGUGAAAAGUACCCCGAUUAGGGGAGUGAAAUAGUUCCUGAAACGGAAUGCCUACAAACAGUUGGAGCCUCUUUAUGAGGUGACAGCGUACCUUUUGUAUAAUGGGUCAGCGACUUAGUGUGUGUAGCAAGCUUAAGCCGAUAGGUGUAGGCGUAGCGAAAGCGAGUCUUAAUAGGGCGAAUUAGUUACAUGCAUUAGACCCGAAACCGAGUGAUCUAGUUAUGGGCAGGUUGAAGGUGCGGUAACACUCACUGGAGGACCGAACCCACGUCUGUUGAAAAAGACGGGGAUGAUCUGUGACUAGGGGUGAAAGGCUAAUCAAACUCGGUAAUAGCUGGUUCUCCGCGAAAACUAUUUAGGUAGUGCGUUGAUACAUUACCGAUGGGGGUAGAGCACUGGAUGGGCUAGGGGAUUCCAAAGAUUUACCAAACCCAACCAAACUCCGAAUACCAUCGAGUAUAAGAUCGGCAGACAGACGAUGGGUGCUAAGGUCCAUCGUCGAAAGGGAAACAGCCCAGACCGCCAACUAAGGUCCCCAAAUCAUGGCUAAGUGGAAAAGGAUGUGGGAAGGCCAAAACAACCAGGAGGUUGGCUUAGAAGCAGCCAUCCUUUAAAGAAAGCGUAAUAGCUCACUGGUCUAAUAGCCGUCCUGCGCCGAAGAUGUAACGGGGCUAAAGUCAUGUACCGAAGUUGCGGAUGUGGAGAGAUCCACAUGGUAGCGGAGCGUUCCGUAGGCCUGUGAAGAGUUCUUGUGAAAGAAUUUGGAGGUAUCGGAAGUGAGAAUGCUGACAUGAGUAGCGAUAAACAGUGUGAGAAACACUGUCGCCGAAAGUCCAAGGGUUCCUGCGCAAGGCUAAUCCGCGCAGGGUGAGCCGGCUCCUAAGGCGAGGGCGAAAGCCGUAGUCGAUGGAAACUUGGUUAAUAUUCCAAGGCCUGCUGGAUGUGACGGUUUCUGUAUAUUGUAUUAGCUUAUUGGAUUGUUAGUGCAGUGAAAGAGAUCCAGGAAAUAGCACCAGCGUAUAGACCGUACCCUAAACCGACACAGGUGGACUGGUAGAGCAUACCAAGGCGCUUGAGAGAACGAUGUUGAAGGAACUAGGCAAAAUGACUCCGUAACUUAGGGAGAAGGAGUGCCUGUUGGUGGGCAACCAUCAGUAGGUGGCACAAACUAGGGGGUGGCGACUGUUUACUAAAAACACAGGACUCUGCUAAGUCGUAAGACGAUGUAUAGGGUCUGACGCCUGCCCGGUGCCGGAAGGUUAAAAGGAGGGGUGUAAGCUCUGAAUUGAAGCCCCGGUAAACGGCGGCCGUAACUAUAACGGUCCUAAGGUAGCGAAAUUCCUUGUCGGGUAAGUUCCGACCUGCACGAAUGGCGUAACGACCUCCCCGCUGUCUCCAGCAUCGACUCAGCGAAAUUGAAUUCCCCGUGAAGAUGCGGGGUACCCGCGGCUAGACGGAGAGACCCCGUGCACCUUUACUAUAGCUUUGCAGUGGUAUUAGGAAAUAUAUGUGUAGAAUAGGUGGGAGCUAAUGAAGUCAGAGCGCCAGCUCUGGCGGAAGCAAUCUUGAAAUACCACCCUUAUGUUUUUUGGUAUCUAACCGCAGUCCGUGAAUCCGGAUUCGGGACCCUGCAUGGUGGGUAGUUUGACUGGGGCGGUCGCCUCCCAAAGAGUAACGGAGGCGCGCUAUGGUUAGCUCAGACCGGUCGGAAAUCGGUUGUUGAGUGCAAUGGCAUAAGCUAGCCUGACUGCGAGACUGACAAGUCGAGCAGAGACGAAAGUCGGUCAUAGUGAUCCGGUGGUUCCGCGUGGAAGGGCCAUCGCUCAACGGAUAAAAGGUACGCCGGGGAUAACAGGCUGAUCUCCCCCAAGAGUCCUCAUCGACGGGGAGGUUUGGCACCUCGAUGUCGGCUCAUCACAUCCUGGGGCUGAAGAAGGUCCCAAGGGUUCGGCUGUUCGCCGAUUAAAGUGGUACGUGAGCUGGGUUUAGAACGUCGUGAGACAGUUCGGUCCCUAUCUACCGUGGGUGUUGGAAACUUGAGAGGACCUGUCCCUAGUACGAGAGGACCGGGAUGGACACACCUCUGGUGUACCGGUUGUCACGCCAGUGGCAUCGCCGGGUAGCUAAGUGUGGACGAGAUAACCGCUGAAAGCAUAUAAGCGGGAAGCUCACCUCAAAACAAGGUUUCCCAUGAGAGUCGUGGAAGACCACCACGUUGAUAGGCCGGGUGUGGAAGCGCGGUAACGCGUGAAGCUAACCGGUACUAAUUGCUCGAUUGGCUUAAUCGU